rfam:Pseudallescheria apiosperma strain IHEM 14462 SEQ_SAPIO_0086, whole genome shotgun sequence.
GGGCGCAUGGUUUAGUGGUAUAAUUCCUCUUUAGCAUAGAGGCGGUCCCCGGUUCGAUUCCGGGUGCGUCCA